GGUCCGUAGGCCGGUCUUAUAAGUCAGUGGUGAAAAUCUCCCCGCUCAACGGGGAAACGGCCAUUGAUACUGUAAGACUUGAAUUAUUAGGAAGUAACUAGAAUAUGUAGUGUAGCGGUGAAAUGCUUAGAGAUUACAUGGAAUACCAAUUGCGAAGGCAGGUUACUACUAAUGGAUUGACGCUGAUGGACGAAAGCGUGGGUAGCGAACAGGAUUAGAUACCCUGGUAGUCCACGCCGUAAACGAUGGAUACUAGCUGUUGGGAGCAAUCUCAGUGGCUAAGCGAAAGUGAUAAGUAUCCCACCUGGGGAGUACGUUCGCAAGAAUGAAACUCAAAGGAAUUGACGGGGGCCCGCACAAGCGGUGGAGCAUGUGGUUUAAUUCGAUGAUACGCGAGGAACCUUACCAAGGCUUAAAUGUAGAUUGACCGUUUUGGAAACAGAACUUUCGCAAGACAAUUUACAAGGUGCUGCAUGGUUGUCGUCAGCUCGUGCCGUGAGGUGUCAGGUUAAGUCCUAUAACGAGCGCAACCCCUGUUGUUAGUUGCCAGCGAGUCAUGUCGGGAACUCUAACGAGACUGCCAGUGCAAACUGUGAGGAAGGUGGGGGAUGACGUCAAAUCAUCACGGCCCUUACGCCUUGGGCUACACACGUGCUACAAUGGCCGGUACAGAGAGCAGCCACUGGGGUGACCAGGAGCGAAUC
rnacentral:rRNA from 1 species